AGAGGGUCGUCUGGCUUUUGAUGCACUGUUCAGUAGAGAAAGGCUUCCCCAAAGCUUUUCUCCUCCGCAAGUAGAAGGAUCAAAGGAGAUUAGCAAGGAGGAAGAAGAUGAAGUAACCACGGUGACGGUUGACCUCAACAAGAAUGCCGCUAUUAUUGAUCAAGAACUCGACACAGCGGAUGAGCCAAGAGCUUCCUUUCCUAAUGAAUUGUCAAACCUGAAGCUGAAAUCUCGCAGGACCGGUUUCAAACCAUACAAGAGGUGCUCAGUGGAAGCGAAGGAGAACAGGGUACCGGCUAGCGAUGAGGUUGGUACCAAGAGGAUUCGUCUUGAGAGCGAAGCAUCGACA
rnacentral:misc_RNA from 1 species